AGCAGCCGCGGUAAUUCCAGCUCCAAUAGCGUAUAUUAAAGUUGUUGCAGUUAAAAAGCUCGUAGUUGAAUUUCGGGAUCAGUUGAUCGGUCGUGCCUCGGUACGUACUGGUCAAAUUGAUUCCUACCUUCUGACGAACCACGAUGUCAUUAAUUUGGUGUCGUGGGAAAUCAGGACUGUUACUUUGAAAAAAUUAGAGUGUUUAAAGCAGGCUCGCGCUUGAAUACAUUAGCAUGGAAUAAUGAAAUAGGACGUUUGAUUCUAUUUUGUUGGUUUCUAGGAUCGACGUAAUGAUUAAUAGGGAUAGUUGGGGGCAUUAGUAUUCAAUUGUCAGAGGUGAAAUUCUUGGAUUUAUUGAAGACUAACUACUGCGAAAGCAUUUGCCAAGGAUGUUUUCAUUAAUCAAGAACGAAAGUUAGGGGAUCGAAGACGAUCAGAUACCGUCGUAGUCUUAACCAUAAACUAUGCCGACUAGGGAUCGGAUGAUGUUAAUUUUUAAUGACUCAUUCGGCGCCUUAAC
rnacentral:rRNA from 1 species